GCAUUUGUAGCUCAGUGGAUAGAGUGUGUUGUUUCUAAGCAGAAGGUCGUGGGUUCGUACCCUACCUGACGCA
rfam:Spinacia oleracea cultivar SynViroflay scaffold13613.con0005.1, whole genome shotgun sequence.